rnacentral:rRNA from 1 species
GAUGAACGCUGGCGGCGUGCCUAAUACAUGCAAGUCGAGCGAACAGACGAGGAGCUUGCUCCUCUGACGUUAGCGGCGGACGGGUGAGUAACACGUGGAUAACCUACCUAUAAGACUGGGAUAACUUCGGGAAACCGGAGCUAAUACCGGAUAAUAUAUUGAACCGCAUGGUUCAAUAGUGAAAGACGGUUUUGCUGUCACUUAUAGAUGGAUCCGCGCCGCAUUAGCUAGUUGGUAAGGUAACGGCUUACCAAGGCAGCGAUGCGUAGCCGACCUGAGAGGGUGAUCGGCCACACUGGAACUGAGACACGGUCCAGACUCCUACGGGAGGCAGCAGUAGGGAAUCUUCCGCAAUGGGCGAAAGCCUGACGGAGCAACGCCGCGUGAGUGAUGAAGGUCUUCGGAUCGUAAAACUCUAUUAUUAGGGAAGAACAAAUGUGUAAGUAACUAUGCACGUCUUGACGGUACCUAAUCAGAAAGCCACGGCUAACUACGUG